CUCUUGGGACGCUCACCAUGGAACCUAGCUGAGAGGAAGCCCAGGCAACGUGGUGAUGCCACACAUGGGUAUUCUGCUCAACAGCCCCAGCUAAGGUCCCAGCCAACAGCCAGCUUUGACUACCAGACAUGUGAAUGAAUGAACCUUCAGAUAACUCCAGCCCCACCUUUGAGUCUUUCAGCUGAGCCUCAGACACUAUGAAGCAGACUAGCUGUCCUCAAAAUGCCGUGUGCGAAUUCCUGACCUACAGGAACCAUGAAAAUAGUUGAACCCAAGAUGGUUUAAUUCUUUCCUGAACCCUUGGAACAUCCUCUGAUUUAAUUUUGUGGCAAGAAAGAAAUGAACUCCAGCUAUAUUAUACACAAAUAUAUGAAACAUUAUGAAGUUUUCAAAUAGUUGAAGGAAGAGUUGAAUGACCAAGACAAGGGGAGGGAAGAAGGCUCUUGCCUACAGUUUCCUCUUCUCUCCCUCUGCCUCCUAACCAUCCCUGGUGCUUCCUCAACUGGCUCUGUGUGCUGUGCCUCCUGUUUCUAGAGAACGGUAUAGCCAAAUAUUUGUCCAAAGCAGUUGAGCCAGCAACGUAAGAGAGUUCCAAUUGCUUCCUGUCUUCACCAGCGUUUGGGAAACAUUCUGAACAGUGACUGGAUCAUCCAAUACGCGUUUGUGGAAAGCAGAAUGGCGGAGAGGGACGUGGAAGGAUAGAGAAAGAGACGCAGGAGGGGAAGAAGAAUGCAGCAGCUGUGAUGCAAUUCCAGUCCCAGGCCUUAAGAAGAUCUGGCAGCUUCUGCUUUUGCUCCCUGGGGGAAGCCAGCCCGCUGUGAGCAGUCCAACUAUCCUGAGAGAUCACCUGGAGAGGCCAAGCAGAGGAGAACUGAGGAACCCAGCCAACACCAAGGACUGAAGCCUAGAUAUAUGACCCCACUUGAAUUGUUCCAACCAGACCUCAGCUUUUUGAGCCAUUCCAGCUGAGGCCCCAGACAUCACAGAACAGAGAUGAGCUAUUCCCACCAUGCUCUGAUCAAGUUACUGACCCACAAAGCCAUGUUCCAAUGAAAUGCUGUUUUAAGCCACUAAGUUGUGGGAUAGUUUGUUGCACAGCAAAAGAUACCUGAAACAGGAGAUAUUCACCACGAAAAUGACAAUUCCUUUCAUCAUUCUCAGUUUUUAUUCUCCUUAAAAUAUGCCUGUGGGAAGAAAACAACUCUUAAUACAAGGUAAAAGUCAUAAUAGAGGAGAUAUUUGGG
rnacentral:lncRNA from 1 species